AUUAUCCUUGACUCAGUGUCGUUUCACCGUCGCAAGAGAGAUACGGCAGAGAGAGAGAGAUUCUAUUGGAUAAUGCCAAGCAUUAUCUCGCUCGACACCUCCUCCUUCCUCUUGGGACGAGGCCGAGAAGGUCAAGGACGCCGUCGGGAACAUCGUGUUCCGCAAGCUCGUCGGCUGCCACGAUUGCGAUCACCUCGUGCGUUACUCUAAGAUUGGACUGAAGUGAUUGAUUUUCAAUUCGUUCACUUUCCGCUGUUGCACGUGCGAGUAUCCACUCGAAUGCAUAGACACUCUAUCAAGAUCAGUAACUGAAGCUCAUUGUCCUGAUUGUAGACCGUGACAUGGAUCUUCUAAAAUGUCUGCUUAUGGCAAUGUUUGCUGGGACCAAGAUUCUGGUGGAUGCAGAAUACAGUGACUGAUCCGUACUGCUGGUCAAACCUUUAUACACUUUGUAACAGGGUUUCCAAUGUGUUCAGCAUGCCGGAGUUUGAAGAUUAUGGAAUUCAAAUCCUUUAUUUGUAAAAGUUCCUCACAGUGUAUAUAUUGUAUUUGAAAAGUGCCAUUCUCUUUGAAAUGCAAUCAAAUACGAUUGUUACUGUUA